UAGUGGUGAAAAGUGCACAUGUGCAUGUAGUGUUUGCGUUGUGUGUGAUCAUUGAAGCUGUACUGCUGAAUAGAUAAAAUCAUCAUAUGAACUACUACAUGACGUUGCUGAUCAGAGCAAAUCAUCAUGAACAACAUGGUGUUGGAGCAUUUUGAUGACCAGCGUGGGUACAUGAACAUCCCCUAAAAAGACCCGACCAAUUUCAAGUGCUGUUCACUCCGCAAGAGCUCAAGAUGAACUGGCCGGAAGGUUUUGCGGACUGAGGGGACUGGAAAAAUUAAAGGGUGCUGUCGUCAGCCAGUCAUGUGACUGCCAAAACUCGCUUUUCCAGAUGACGACUCAUGAUGACUCACGACGACUCAAAACCUCACGAUGUCUGGAACAUAUGUAUUACAGCUAGAUGCUAAAAUGUCUAUUGUGUUAUUAAAAUUCAUAAAAACACAAUUAUUAAAAAUAACUUAUUAUAAGACAAAAAAAAAUGACUAAAUUGGUUUGUCAUUGGAGCCAAAAUCAUUUUGGAGUAAUUUGCAUCAAACAUAUUCAUGGGAAAAGCAUUAGUCUUGCUAAUAUGGAAAUAAAAUAUACAAAAGCUUCAAUGAUGAAGAAAAGAAAGCUACGGCAUUAUUUAAAACACUUGCAACAACUGAGACUCCUUGUAUGUUGAAAUACAAAGUUGAUAAUGAUUUUCAUGAUCAGUAUAUGAUAAGAUAUGUAACAAGAAGUAUGGCUAAAAUAUUUGAUGUGCUAAUGCAAUUAAACAACCAACAAUCUCAAAAAUGGGUCUAAACAAAUGAUUGAAUUAGUUUGUCAUUGGAGUCAAGAUCAUUUUUAAGUCUAUUGCAUCAUCAAAUUCAUCCAUUGGAAAAGCAUUAGUCUUGCUAAUGUAUUUGAAAUAAAAUAUAGCUAUGACAAGCUUCAAUUAUGCAGAUAGUAAAAAGAGAGAUACUGCACUAUUUAAAACAAUUGAGGCUGUUUUUGUGCUGAAAUAUAACAUGCAAAAUACCAAGUGAAUGAUGUUAAUGUUAAAAGUGUUAUAUAGCACGUUGACUUUAGUUCAUCUUACCAAGUGUUUUAAAAGUUGAGUGAAUUGUUUAUAAACUAUUUGAUAAUUAGACGAUCAUGAAAGACUCGUACACUUGAACCACCAACAAAAUGCAUCAAGACCAUCCACAUGACUAUGACAAAAUAGAAGACUAUGACAUGGUGCUGGUGGUAUUGAUUUUAUGCUCUUUUAAAUGUACCACUUACUGUUCUUAUUGGUGAACAUUUACUUGGUUUCGUCGAGCUUUAUCAGUGUUUAUUAAAAUUUCCUUUGAUCAGCCGCUGUUGUUGCUCACAAUUGAACCACCUGUUGUUUUUUAGAGUUUCAAGAAAGUUGUGCCUCUACUAGAAAGAAUGCUAAAAAUAUUAUAAACAGCUGGCUUGAAAUCUUCUUUUCAAAGUGAUAAAUCGUUUUCAAAUAAUAACAGUAAACUAUUUUAAAAAUAUAAUAAUAUUAAAAAAAGAAUUAUCAAACCAACAAAAAUAAAUUAUUUAAACAAUUGAACAUAAAAAAAGAAAACUAAAUUAAUUUAUAAACUGUGAUGUAAAAGUGGUGAUAGUAGUUGUGUGUAGUGUUUGCGUUGUGUGUGAUCAUUGAAGCUGUACUGCUGAAUAGAUAAAAUCAUCAUAUGAACCACUACAUGACGUUGCUGAUCAGAGCAAAUCAUCAUGAACAACAUGGUGUUGGAGCAUUUUGAUGACCAGCGUGGGUACAUGAACAUCCCCUAAAAAGAACCGACUGAUUUCAAGUGCUGUUCACUCCGUAAGAGCCCAAGAUGAACUGACCGGAAAGUUUUGCGGACUGAUGGGACUGACAAAAUAAAAAAAUCAUGCGCUGUCGUCUCUCCGUCAUGUGACUGCCAAAACUGGUCAAAACUCGUUUUUCCAGAUGACGAUGACUCAGAAGCUCAGGAUGGCUGGAAUAUAUGUAUUGGAGCCUGGAGAUAUUCGUGAUUUUUGUCAAAAAUUAAUGUACCUGUCAAUGGCGUUGGAGCUGACAAAGGCAAAUCUUAAAUCGUCAAACAAUGAACAAAUGAUGACAAAAAAGUGUGGCUGGAACGUCUAAUGUGUCAAUGUAGUUUAUUAAACACAAUUGCUGUAACUGGACCCAAAAAAAAAUGACUAGAUUGUUUCGUCAUUAAGACCAUAAUCAUUUUGGAGUUAAUUGCAUCACAUUCAUCCACGGCAAACGCUUUAUUUACGUCAAAUUAAAUAAGCUUCAAUGAUGAAGAAAAGUAUUUAUAACACUUGAGACAACAUGGAAAAUAUUAAGACAAUGAUGUUAACAAUUAGAAUAUUAUAAGGUACGUCGAUUUACGUACAUGUUAUCAAGUGGUUUAAAAAUUAAUAAAAUUAAUUUUCAACUUUU
rnacentral:lncRNA from 1 species